UCGGGAAUUUUGCGCAAUGGGGGAAACCCUGACGCAGCAACGCCGCGUGGAGGAAGACGGCCUUCGGGUUGUAAACUCCUGUUGCCCGGGACGAAUGCCACAGGCAGGAAAUGGCCUGUGGGUGACGGUACCGGGUGAGGAAGCCCCGGCUAACUACGUGCCAGCAGCCGCGGUAAUACGUAGGGGGCGAGCGUUGUCCGGAAUUACUGGGCGUAAAGGGCGUGUAGGCGGCGCAGCAAGUGGGGAGUGAAAGCCCGGGGCUCAACCGCGGGCGUGCUACCCAAACUGCUGUGCUUGAGGACCGGAGAGGGCAGUGGAAUUCCCGGUGUAGCAGUGAAAUGCGUAGAGAUCGGGAGGAACACCAGUGGCGAAGGCGGCUGCCUGGACGGUACCUGACGCUGAGGCGCGAAAGCUGGGGGAGCGAACAGGAUUAGAUACCCUGGUAGUCCCAGCCGUAAACGAUGAGUGCUAUGUGUGGCGGGUAUCGACCCCUGCCGUGCAGCAGUUAACGCAAUAAGCACUCCGCCUGGGGAGUACGGCCGCAAGGUUG
rnacentral:rRNA from 1 species